CUUGUUUGGUUCCUGUCUUGCCAUAUCUGCGUUCCAGUAUUUCCUGUCUGAUUCCGGCUUCUGACCUUGGCUUUCCUCCUGGACUACUCUGAUCUCUGGCUUCCCCUGACUUUGGCUUUCCUUGACUACGCUUCUGCUAAUCCCUGCUGUACUGCUACUUGGAGCACUAUUCCUGGAAAGCCCCCGUGCACAGACUCACAGAUCAGGUGGCGUCUUACC